rnacentral:lncRNA from 1 species
UACAUAGAGAUUUAUUUAUACAAAUGUAACGUUACAAACGUCACAUCUUUGCUAUUUUAUUUUCAAAUAAUUAUUUUAUUCUAUUUUCUUUAAUAAUUCUUUAAUAAUAAUCAUCUUCUAUUUGUUUUACCUUUUUUCCCGUUAAAAAUUGGUUGGCGCCCUCUUUCGUUAUUUAUAGGCAUAUCUCAACAUUCUUGUUCUAUCUCAGAAUUCACAUUCUUAUUCAAUCGUUCUGUGGUUCAUGACAGUGACUUCGCACUGUCGUUUCUCGUUUCAAAUUUUAAGCCCCCACUCACGAACUCUGUCAAUGUCAAGUCAAACCCUUUCUCUUUGUCAAAAUGAAGAAUAUUUUUUCAUUAAAUUCUAAAAUCUACUUAAGGCAAUGUCUGGCCUCAUAGCCACAUUUUCAAACAGACGUUCUUAAUUUGGUUUUCUGGACAUAUUGCAAAAACUAAUCAACCCUUCACCUCGUGGGAGACUCCCCGAAACUGGAGCCCCUAAUGUCGCCGGCGAUACAUCAAUGCAGCAGUAACUAGACUCCUAACAACCAUCCAACACCUGUAGGCCUGGUGGCCAGAACAUCCACGUCGCCAGAGCCCGUUGCAGAACAACAGCAAGACACCUAGAACUCGCAGACAGAUACCAAGUGCCAUCGAUAAGUAUAAUCUCUGAUCUGUAAAGUUUCGGCAAGGUCUUGUAAAUUAUUUUUUUGAUACUUUAAUUAUGUCUUUUAUGAAAAAUAAACAUGAUUAGUUAAA